rnacentral:lncRNA from 1 species
AUUUCUGAAAUAUAAAAUACACCUCUUGUAAAGAUCAUUUAGAUCUUGUGUUGAGGGUAUUUAUUAAACUUCAUUAUGUUCUUGUUCAUACUUGAACUCGAGUUGAAGUUGUUAUUCUAUUAUAUAGAUUUCAUGUACCCGUAUUGUGGAAGAUAACACACUUGACAUGGAGAUAUCUAAGAAUGUUCGUUGAUGCUGUAAAAGAGGAUCUACAAGAUCUGUUAAGGCAUGAUGCCUGCUUAAAAGUUGCCUUUGAUGAUAAAAUUCCAUGGCUCCAACAAGGACUUUCUUACAUUUCUGGACUUCUCUUCCAUUUAGCAUCAACAUCAAAAUGCACUGCAUUUGCAGAAGUCAAUUCUCUUCAAGCACAUAUAGACGAUCUGGCAAUUAAGACAGCAAUUGUCGUCUACUCUUCCUAUAACGAGAAAAUGGACAAGACUAGUGAAGCUUUGCAACUGAAGCUUAAUCAUGUCAAGCUAGAAAUCGAUCUAAUUCAGCUACUAAAUAGUGAAGCCCUUCAUCAUAGCUCAUCUGAAAGAUCUAUAUGACUAUGUUCAGGAAUUGGUGAUAUUCUUGAGAACUUUUCCUAUCAAUUCAUUGGGGGUGUGUAAAGAGCAUACUAAGAGAACUGACUUUUUAGCCCUCAAUAUGAUGCAAAUAAGCAUGACCUAAAGGCUGACCUAUGUUAGGGUUCACUAACAAGGCUGUUCGGGGGAGCGUAAGGUCGAUAGUGGCUGUGAAAGCUUUCCACCCACUUCAUACGUGAGAUGGCUCCCCCUUAUAAAAUAGUUUGACUCAACUAGAGUUCGUGUACACGACGUGCACUCCGAAACUUAUUGUAGAAAGAAUUGAUUCGGGUUAUGCAAAUGAUCCCAGAUAUAAAACGGUAAUACAUAUGAGGAAAAACUGUAAACACGUAGCAAGUAGACACUCAACAAUAAUAAGACAAAUAAAAAAUAACACAAAAAAUACCUAUACACCUAUAGUGUCAAACUAAGCCGAUACAACUCAAAAAAUAAGCUCGAAUUUGGAAAAAUCUCCAAUAGAGUCGUCAGAGCUGUCACACCCCUUUUUUAAACCAAAAAGAAUGAUUUUAAAGUUUGAAAGAGUUUUUAUUAUUAAGUGAAAAAAUGAAGGUUUGUUUCGAAAAAAUAUUAUUUUUACAUUCAAAUUCAGAGUUUCCACUUGACAUAAUCCGGUGUGCCAAGUCACCUUUGGAAAAUCCUUUUCAAAACAGUUUUGACUCUCUUAAACUAAUCCGCGAAUAGAGAUUCCGAUUAAGGAAUUCUGUUGAUCGGGGGAAGGUGUUAGGCACCCCUCGAUCCUGUGGUUCGAUCACGGUCACUUGGUGGAGCAUAUCGGCUAAUUUUGAUACUAAGAAUGUAUAAACCACAUCAAACACAUAAAAUAAGAAACAAACACAUCAAAAACAAUCCAAAACCAAAAUAAUAAUGUCCAGUCCAAUUAUACAGUCCAAAAAUAAUGCAAAAAAUAUAAAUCCUCUUAUAUACUAGUCCUAGACCAAGCUCUACUCGACGCCUCAAGUCUUCAUCACAACGUCCUCCAGGUAUAAAAUACUUCGAGGCAUUCCCCAGCCAAAUGAAUACAUCUGAAUUAAAUACGAUAAACUAGAUAGCAUUCAACACACAUAUUUGAACAUUCAACGCAUUCAACAACACAUCACUCCUACAUUUUGCCUACCCGAGCCUAAACAUUUUUGUCUAUCUAAUUUGACCUAUCAUGAUACUAUCAAAUUCACAAACUUAAUAUUUAUUCCGAAUUAAACAAAAUAAUAAUAAACUAACAUUAAUCUAAAUUCACCCUUUUUAUCAAUUUCAAUUCUGCCCCCAAGUUCUCUUUUAAUUCUUAACGAGAUAUUAUUUCAUUACACAAUUCAUAACUCAAAAGAAACAAAUGAUAAAUCAAAUGAGUAGCAAUUUAGUCACCGAUCAAAAUCAAUCAACACACAUAAGAGAGAAAGACUAGAAUUGGACCUCAAUUGUCGUUUAACCAUAAUUUCUUCACUAAUUUCCAAUAAUACUUAGAAAAGAAGCAGCUAUCGAAAUCUCAAAUUGACCUCAGCUAACGAAAACCCAACUCGAUAUCAAAACUGCCAACCGAACAAAUUUGAAACCAUUACCAGUAGACUCAAUCCGAACCUUGAAUCACGGAUUUUCAACUCAAACUCUGUUUUACCCAAACCCGAUGUUUGUCGUGAUGUCUUUUGGCACCUAAAUAGUACAAAUGGUGGCGGUGUGAUUGAAUUUUGUGAUUUCAAUAGAGGUGGAGCUGAUAUUCAUCCUAUCGAAGCUUUGGUGAGAUUCGAUAGUGAUGGAAAGAUGGAGCAUGGCUCAGAUCUCAGGCAAAAAUAGUGGUUCCCAAUGAGAUUUCAUCGGAACCAACACCCUCACUGUUGUUUCUCUCUUCUCUCUAACUUAAACUUCUCAGAUUUUUAUUAUUUUCCUCUCAAAUUUCUCUUAAAUUUCUCACACUCUCUCUCGGAUAUCCCUUCAUUCUUUUAUUUCAGCCUCUAAUCGUUUUGUGUGUGUGUUUAAAAUGGAAGAAAAGGAAGAUGGUUAGUGGAUAUAUGCGUAUGGCUAUCUUGAUGAUGAAGUGGGUCUUUUUCCAGUGAGGAUUUUUGUGUUUUGUGUGGGUAAUAUUUGUUGAAGAAGACUUUUGUGUAUGUAUUGUCGCCUGGAAGAUAAA